rnacentral:rRNA from 1 species
GGCCGUAGUGAUCCGGUAGCCCGGUGUGGAUCGGCUAUCGCGCAACGGAUAAAAGGUACGCUGGGGAUAACAGGCUUAUCGCGCCCGAGAGUUCACAUCGACGGCGCGGUUUGGCACCUCGAUGUCGGCUUAUCACAUCCUGGGGCUGGAGAAGGUCCCAAGGGUCCGGCUGUUCGCCGGUUAAAGUGGUACAUGAGCUGGGUUCAGAACGUCGUGAGACAGUUCGGUCUGUAUCCGUCGUGGGCGUUGGAGAGUUGAGGGGUGCGGACUCUAGUACGAGAGGACCGAGUCGGACGACCCGCUCGUGUCCCGGCUGUCACGCCAGUGGCAACGCCGGGUAGCGAUGGUCGGCACAGAUAACCGCUGAAUGCAUCUAAGUGGGAAGCUGUCCCCAAGAUGAACUCUCCCUGGGACCUUGAGUCCCCUAAAGGGCCGUGGGAGACCACCACGUCGAUAGGUGGGGAGUGGAAAGUCAGUAAUGACCUCCGAGCUAACCCAUCCUAAUCGCCCGUGCGGCUUGACUAC